AUCAACGGAAAGCUUUUGGCUAGGGUUUGACUGAUAAGCAGCUGAGGGUUUUCAGUUUACGCAGAUGGAGGCAGUGAGUUUGAGGCAGCAAAUGCAUAACUUGUAGAAUUAUGAAUGGGAAAAGUGAUGGUACCGAUGACUUUCUUGCAAGUUAUGCAGUUGCUGCCUCAAGCUUGCUGCCUCCCUCUGCCAAAACUAGUGUGGACAAAAUAACCCAUGUCAAUGCAUUAUGGUGAAAAGCUGAGGCUGGAGAAAGAGCAAGAGUUCUUGUGAUCUAUGUGAUAUAUAUGUAUAUAUAUAGUUCUUGUCUGCUGUCUUGUUGUAAUUUAUAGUGAAAGUUCUGUUGUAAUCUAUUGUAAAGAAAAUCAAGUGUAGAUUGACUUUGAAUAUUCUUGCAAG
rnacentral:miRNA from 1 species